rnacentral:sRNA from 2 species
UGAUAGCCCUGACAGAAACGAUAUCCUUUCAUUGCGAUUAAAAAUAAUUGUAUUUAGAUCGCUUCAUUCCUCGCAAUGAAAGAUAAAGUGAAUGGCAGGAUAACAA